CAUAGGAGCCUGGGGUCCGCUUGACAACUAAUCCCAAGAUUUGACGAAAGCGACUGCCAUCUGACCUUUCAACCCAGGGGGGUAAACUAGGCCUUAUUGGGAUUAGUCCGGUUUCCUCACGAUGUUUUCCUUCACCGAAAAGCGACUGGCAAAUAUCAAAUGAUAUUUCGUACAUAAGUUCCGAAAAACUCAUUGGUACGAGCCAGGGUUUGAACCCGCGACCUCCAGAUUGCAAGUCGCACGCUCUUACCGCUAGGCC